rnacentral:rRNA from 1 species
CGGACGGGUGAGUAACGCGUGGGUAACCUGCCUUGUACUGGGGGACAACAGUUAGAAAUGACUGCUAAUACCGCAUAAGCGCACAGUAUCGCAUGAUACAGUGUGAAAAACUCCGGUGGUACAAGAUGGACCCGCGUCUGAUUGGCUAGUUGGUAAGGUAACGGCUUACCAAGGCGACGAUCAGUAGCCGACCUGAGAGGGUGACCGGCCACAUUGGGACUGAGACACGGCCCAA